UCGGGAAUUUUGGGCAAUGGGCGAAAGCCUGACCCAGCAACGCCGCGUGAAGGAUGAAGUAUUUCGGUAUGUAAACUUCGAAAGAAUAGGAAGAAUAAAUGACGGUACUAUUUAUAAGGUCCGGCUAACUACGUGCCAGCAGCCGCGGUAAUACGUAGGGACCAAGCGUUGUUCGGAUUUACUGGGCGUAAAGGGCGCGUAGGCGGCUUGACAAGUCACUUGUGAAAUCUCUGGGCUUAACCCAGAACGGCCAAGUGAAACUGUCAUGCUAGAGUGCGGAAGGGGCAAUCGGAAUUCUUGGUGUAGCGGUGAAAUGCGUAGAUAUCAAGAGGAACACCUGAGGUGAAGACGGGUUGCUGGGCCGACACUGACGCUGAGUGCGCGAAAGCCAGGGGAGCAAACGGGAUUAGAUACCCCCGUAGUCC
rnacentral:rRNA from 1 species